AUUUUGUGAUGGGGACACUUUCUCAACAAUUCUUUAAACCUCUCCCAUGUGUCAUAUAAUGAUUCACCAUCAGUUUGGAAGAAGGUAUUAUUCUCUCCUCUCAACCU